ACAGAAUCACUUAGGAAAUUUUAUUAAAACACAAAUUCUGAUUUAGUAGCUCUGCUGUGGGGGCCCAAAUUUUGACUUUCUAACAGAGUUCCCAAGUGAUGCAGAU
rnacentral:pre_miRNA from 1 species